CAGCCGCCGCGGUAAUACGUAGGUGGCAAGCGUUGUCCGGAAUUAUUGGGCGUAAAGGGCUCGCAGGCGGUUUCUUAAGUCUGAUGUGAAAGCCCCCGGCUCAACCGGGGAGGGUCAUUGGAAACUGGGAAACUUGAGUGCAGAAGAGGAGAGUGGAAUUCCACGUGUAGCGGUGAAAUGCGUAGAGAUGUGGAGGAACACCAGUGGCGAAGGCGACUCUCUAGUCUGUAACUGACGCUGAGGAGCGAAAGCGUGGGGAGCGAACAGGAUUAGAUACCCGCGUAGUCCCUGUCUCUUAUAC
rnacentral:rRNA from 1 species